GGGGCUAUAGCUCAGCUGGGAGAGCGCCUGCCUUGCACGCAGGAGGUCAACGGUUCGAUCCCGUUUAGCUCCA
rnacentral:tRNA from 2 species